GGUCUGUUCGUCUAAUUGGCCAGGACACAGCCCUCUCAAGGCUGAAACGCCGGUUCAAAUCCGGCACAGAUCACCA
rnacentral:tRNA from 1 species